AUUUAACAAAGCAUUUUUGAAGGUUCUCUUAAUAUCUUGACGCUGCUAAGUCACAAUAUCGAUUUUUUUCUUGUUCCUAUAAUUUUUGCAAUAUUGUUUCAGUCGAACCUGAGUUCAUUAUUUCAAGUCGAGGAAAUCAAAUGAUAAAAAUAGGUCCUAUAUUCACAACAACGAAGUCAGGAAAAACAGCAUUAGUCCUUCAAGGCUUUCGAUUCAACCAGCACAGUAAUUCAAGAGAAAAUCACGGUUACUUUGUGUGCGUCAAAUGGGGGUUUGGCUGUCGCGCGUCUGUUAGGACAUACAAACAAGAAAUACUCAGCGUGAAGAAUCAUCACAAUCAUAUAUAAUAUUAAUUAUUAAUUAAAUAUAUAUU
rnacentral:misc_RNA from 1 species